GGCCGGGUGGUCUAGUGGUCAGGACGUUAGCCACGUAAGCUGAAGACGCGGGUUCGAUUCCCGCCUCGGCCA